AAUAGAUACCCUGGUAGUCCACGCCGUAAACGAUGAGUGCUAAGUGUUAGGGGGUUUCCACCCCUUAGUGCUGCAGCUAACGCAUUAAGCACUCCGCCUGGGGAGUACGGUCGCAAGACUGAAACUCAAAGGAAUUGACGGGGGCCCGCACAAGCGGUGGAGCAUGUGGUUUAAUUCGAAGCAACGCGAAGAACCUUACCAGGUCUUGACAUCCCGAUGACCGCUCUAGAGAUAGAGCUUUCCCUUCGGGGACAGCGGUGACAGGUGGUGCAUGGUUGUCGUCAGCUCGUGUCGUGAGAUGUUGGGUUAAGUCCCGCAACGAGCGCAACCCUUGUUCUUAGUUGCCAUCAUUCAGUUGGGCACUCUAAGGAGACUGCCGCAGACAAUGCGGAGGAAGGUGGGGAUGACGUCAAAUCAUCAUGCCCCUUAUGACCUGGGCUACACACGUGCUACAAUGGACGGUACAAACGGUUGCGAAGUCGCGAGACGGAGCUAAUCCGAGAAAACCGUUCUCAGUUCGGAUUGC
rnacentral:rRNA from 1 species